UGUGUACUCCCUCCAUUCCAAAAUACUUGACUUCCAUUUGUCCAAAAAUGGAUGUACCUAUAUACUAAAACAUGUCUAGAUACAUCUAUAUUUUGACAAAUAGAAGACAUGUAUUGUGGAACGGAGGGAGUAGAAU
rnacentral:pre_miRNA from 1 species